GAGCGAAAAGUCAUCGUUGUUUGGACCAAGGCGCGUAACACCCAAAACCUAAAUUUAUUUGUUUGUGCUCCAUCUAAGCUAAAAAGUUUCUUAAAAUUUCCGACGAUUUUAUAAUGGCAAAUUCACACAAUGGAUCUGAUCGUUGCGUCGGCUUUCGAGAUUGUUUGGCAAAUUUCAUUUCGAAUUCAGCAUUUCCGGAUGAUCUUUAUCCGAUCCUAUUUUCGGCGUUGGUUCUGUUCUUUACGUUGAAGAUGUUCCAAUAUUCAGUUCAUUUGGCGUUUGCAAUGCUUCGACCGAUUGCUUUUAUUGCCAUCGGCUUGCUUUUGUUACCGCAUUUAUAUGAAUUAAAGACGUGGCUGUCUUCCAAUGCCGUUUUGUCUUCUGCUUCGACCUACGUCGAUGAUUUCGUCCAGUAUAUCAGUGAUCUGUUUCAGACUGUUUGUAGUCGAAUAAGUCUUUACC